rnacentral:lncRNA from 1 species
CUGUAUGAUGAGAGUUUAAAUUCCUACCACAGCCAUAUAUACAUGCUUGCUAGACUUUGAGCCACACAUUUACUUUUUACUGCUUAUGAGCAUUAAGUGUGGUCAAGCUGUAUAGACCCUUAGGAGCUUGUCAUGUGGUUAAAUCAAGAUUCACUUGCACGUUCACUCAGACAUGCUGCUUCUACUCCGGAAGUACGCAUCCACAUAUAUCCACUCAUUUCCGUCUCCAGAACCACCCAAAAAUAUUCUACUCCUAAUCCGGGAGAGAAUAGCCAAAAAUAUUUCUGUUUUUCCCCUAUGAAAUAAAUGCUCAAGUUAUCUUGGUUACUACCACUUGCUAUAUUAUUUCAGGAAAUGAGUGCUAUGAAAAAAAAAGUGAAUACGAGGAAAUAAAAAGGGACAAGUGCCCGGAACCUCCAAAGAAAAGAAAAAGUGAGACGAGAGGUAAAAAUAGACAAGUAUCCGACAGUAGAAUUAGGGGUACAAGAUACCCACCUGAGAGGAAAGAAAAAAAUACAGAGCAUCUCAUUCUCCCCAAAAGUUUCAAAAGAGCAAGAAAGGUAUGUAUCCUCUCAAAAGAGCAAAAGUAGAAUUAGACUUUCACCAUUGUUAUCACCAUCAUCACCAUACACCAUUCAUUCGCCACACAUGCACAUCUUGAUUUGAUUUAUUGACUUGUUCUUCUGGAUCCAUGGUUUGACAAUGCAAUAAAUGUCUUGUAAGUAUAUAUUAGCUGUCUCCCACCUAUGAGCUCCAGAUAUCAAAACCUUAUUAGAGUAGGGUGAGAGAGAAGGCAAUGGCACUAUGCCUUAUACCACAAAUACCACAUACUU